GGCCCAACAACAAGGCCGGCUUUCCCCCGCACGGCCCCAGCGUCCCUCCAAAGCCCCGGGGCCACCCGGAAAGCCCCAGUACCCUCAACAGCCCCCGGCUCUCCUCCGCAGUGUGCCCACCCGGCCGUCCCAGUGUUCCCCCGCAGCCCUAAGGUGCCCAGACCGCCCUUCCCACUGCCCAAGUGACCCCCCAGAAACCCGGAGUGGCCCAGCCUGGCAGCCACCCCUGGAGCCCCGGGGCUGCAGGGACCCCACGGAGCCCCCAGGAGAGUUUGCAGCUGCUGGAGAACUGGGAAAGGUCGUUCAGUUCCAAGCCCCUGCCAUGGACACCUUCCUUGGGCCAGGUUGUUCCAAGCUCCAUCCAACACGGACAGCAAGAGGAGCAGCACUACUGCGGUGUCACCGCUUUUGGGGACAGCUCAGCUGGAGCAGGGACAUCGAUGGCACUGCUCCCUUGUCUGGACUCAUUUUCCCCCUGAUUCUGCCCGUGCAAAAGAGAUCUGGGAGGACCUUGGGAAGGCGUUUUGGUAAGGAAUGUUUAGACUCUGCAGCCUCUCCCCUGACCCUCAGUGAGCCCCAGCCCCACCAACAAGUUGCAGUGGAAACAAAGGCAGUUCUCGCUUCAGAUUCUUCAGAGAUAGCAAUAUGUCAGGAGCCCCUGGAGAGGCCGAAAGUAAAUGAAUCAGUGCUAGAAAGUGAAGGAUAUCAUCCGUGCUGAAUGGUGAAAAGGAGUCCUGAACAGUAUCUUCAUUGAUUUUCCUGUAAUUGACACAGAGCUGGGCUCGCCGGAGGCUGCAGCAGGAGCGGGGAGGCCCAGGUACCGCUCCUGCCUCAAUUAGGCAGCUCAGGGCUGUGGGCAGCUCCAGAGGAGCCGCUGGGCUGGGAGCCCGUGUUUUCACUGGCCACAGGCUGCCCUGAAAGCUGCCACGAGGACAAGGGGCAGCUUGGAAGGACGUGUCCCAGGCUGCCAGCAGCUUCCCACCGGCCCUGGGAUAGCCCAAGGUGCAGGGAGCCCUCAGCUGGUGAGAAACACCGGCCCUAAAGUCAGGAAAAUCCAAAAUCUGGUUAGCUGAGAUGUGAGGCUGUGCAAGGAGCAAUGUGCCUUCUGUGUGGAACCCCUCAGCUGGGCAGUGGGCAGCCACGGGCGCCCUGUCCUGGGGCAGAGCACAAGGGAUGGGUCCCAUGGAGGAGGAGACACGGCCACAGCACGUGAAAGGAACCAGGAGCAUCCGUCCACUUUCCAGCCCAGAGCAGGAACCAGGUCAGCUCUGAGGGAAGGUUCCCUCUUCUGGAUUUAUUCAUGCAAAAGAAUGGGUAAAAAAUCGGCCUUGGCUCCAGCCCGCUCCCGCCGUGCCCACACCGUACUGGAUUUUUCCAGCCCGAGCUCAGCUACUCUCAAGCCCUAAUUUUGCAGAUAAACAGCUUCUAUUUCAUUAAAUGAGCUCUGCACAGAAUGUUUGUCUUAGUUAUUUCCAGAAAAUUAAUUCAUAGGGCUUAAUCUGUUUAGCAUCUGAUUAAUGGGGUUUUUAAUCACCCAUAAUAAUGAUAAUAACGAGCUUAAAGUAAUAACCCGGGCAAAGGUGUGUAUUUGUCUUUGCUGUGCCGUCCCGACAGCCAUCAGCUCUGCACAAUAACUCAGAUAUUUGGCGUUGUUCCUUUCAGAUCCAUCCAUCAGCUGGGAGAAGCAGGUCUGUUGUGAGCCCUUCUCAUUUAACAGCAUUUGGAAAAGCACCUGUUAUCAGAGAGGGAGUUUGGGCAGCAGCACUGGCUGCUCCUGGAGCCAAAACCAGCCAAAUGGAGCAUCCCAACUGCUCCCUGCUGGGACACAGACGUCAUUAAGCCGUGUCUCUGGUAAUUAAACAGCUGCUGCACCUCACCUAGAGUCAGAUUUGUUACUGGGGCGCAGCAGGGACGUGUUGGAGUGCGGAUCUGGCGGGACGGACACGGCUGGUGCUGGGUGUCCAAAUUCCAUGUUUAAUCUGAGUCUCACAUCCCCCAGCUGGCUGUGACCAGAGCACUGAGACCAAACACAAAACUUCUGCUCUUUUUGAUUCUUCUGCGCUUCUCACUCCUGCAUUUCUGUCUCUUCUGAGCUCAGCUCCUUUGGAAUAUUCCCUCACAUGUUUAUCUCAGUUCUCAGGGUCCAAAGCUCGUUAGGAUCUUGCUUCUCGUGUUAAUUAGGAUGUCAUCACAAAAGCUGGCAGGUCUCUCCAGACUUCCUGCACAACUUCAAUUCACCAUAACUGGGCUCCCUUUGGUUCUGAAGGCACAAAAUGGCUGUUUCAUCUUUAUAUUCAAUUUAUCCAAUUAACUAUAGACACGUGGAUUGUUUUUAUAUAUUAACAAAUUUGUUUUUUCUAUCUACUUACAUAGUUAAAACUGUGACCAACUUUCAACCAAUCACUCUUUGUGCUCCUAAAAACUGCAGAAUCAUGGAGAAGAAGGAAGAAGGAGGGCUAAAAAACACACUUUUUUCCCUCUGUCUUUACUCCAUGUAUUAAACAAUCUGAAAUCUCUAUUUUUUACUUUGGUGACAUACUAAACAUUCUACUACUUUGUACUUAAUUUUUUUCUAAAUCCUGGUUUACCCAGGGAUAUUUGGAAGCCUUUCUGUCAGUGACAAAUAGGAUUAAUAGCUUUUUGGAGAACAGGAUAAAGGGAGAAAUGUUUCUCCAUUUCUGGAUUCUUACAUCUCCUCCUGUCGGGAUUUCUCCCCAGCUCCUUCCUGGGCGAUGCUGCUGUCCUUUUUUGAGGGGAGACACUCGUUUUGUGCCUGGCAGAGCCUGGGGCCGGCGGCUUUCGGCUGUGGCUGUGGCAGGAGGUCAGGGCACGGCUGCAGCGCUUCCCAGGCAGGGAUCAAUAGGCAGGCAGCGCUCUCAGCACGUGCUGGGGGAGGCAAAAGCAUCCUCUGCCUCGCCCCGGCUGAAAUUGGAAAGAAACGAUCGAUCCCUGACUCUUUUCGGGGUGAGGGGAAAUUGCAGGAGGAAGAUGGCUUGAAAGAAUGAGAUGGAUGGGAGGAACUGGAGCUCGUGGUGCGGGGAGAGGAAAGCGCAGCGCAGAUGACGAUGCUGGCGAUCUGUCCGUCCGUCAGGGGCUUUAUUCGGGGGUCUCUCAUGGAAACACCGGAGCGCAGGUGCUCCCAGCAGCACGGUGCUGGGGGGCCCGGCGAGGAGGAGACAUCCACGCUGUGCUGAGAGCCUUGGAGCAGCUGGGCUGGGGCAAGAUGGGCUUGAAAACCCUUCCAGAUUUUCCUUUCUGGGGUUCUGCGGUUUCCCGUGCUUGGAAACCCUCCUUCACACCACAGGCAAAGCCCCAGUGGCACCAGCAGGCCCAGAGGUGAGGCAGAACCUGCCUCCCUUUCCAUGGGGCUUUUUUCCAUGAGCAUUCCCUUUUGCCCUCUGGAGACAGGGCGUUCCUGUCAGAAGUGCUCCCAGCCGUGCCACAGGCAUCCCAGUGCUCACUCUGCAGCCUCGGAGCUCCCCGAGGGGCUGCAGGCUCCGGGGGAUUCCCUGGGGGAGCAAACCCCCAUCCCAGGUCCCUGUCAGCCCCUGCAGGAGGGAGGGAGGGAUGAGCUGUCCCUGGCAGAGCAGUUAUCAAUUCCCAGCAUAGCCGCUUCCAGGCUGAUUGCCUUUCCUGACGGAGCCUCUCUGGAAAUGAGGCUUUUCACAGAUGACAGAUAGAGCUGCUCCCGCGGAGCAUAAAUCCUGGCAGCCCAAAGUGCCGCCACAGGCUGUUUAACAGCCCUGCUUGGCCCAGCCCCGACUUCAGCUGCCCGGGAUGACACAGCGCUCCGCUGGCAAUUCCUCAUCAAUUAGCCCUGUCGGCACCGCUGAGCCGGGCACUGACCCUGCUCGGGAACAAACCUCCCCGAGCGUGGCCUUCCAUCCCCGGCUGCAGCCUGACAGGAGCCCCGGCUGCUCCGGACAGUGUCCUCUCCCCGUGCUCCUUCUGCUCCGGACAGUGUCCUCUCCUCCUGCUC